UACGGAGGAGGCAAGCGUUAUCCGGAAUUAUUGGGCGUAAAGCGUCCGCAGGUGGCACCUCAAGUCUGCUGUCAAAGACCGGGGCUUAACCCCAGAAAGGCAGUGGAAACUGAAGUGCUAGAGUGCAGUAGGGGUAGAGGGAAUUCCCGGUGUAGCGGUGAAAUGCGUAGAGAUCGGGAAGAACAUCGGUGGCGAAAGCGCUCUGCUGGACUGCAACUGACACUCAGGGACGAAGCUAGGG
rnacentral:rRNA from 1 species